rfam:Prunus persica cultivar Lovell chromosome G5, whole genome shotgun sequence.
UUUGGGCAGUUGAUGAUCCUCAUUGAUAUUAAUGGGUAAUUUGCAUCUGAAACAUUCAUUGAUGUUUUAUCUAUCACCUUGGAGAACUGAUGCCCUUG